GUUGUAUGGUUAAGUGACUAAGCGUACACGGUGGAUGCCUUGGCAGUCAGAGGCGAUGAAGGACGUAUUAACUUGCGAUAAGCCCAGAUUAGGCAGUAAAAGCCACUUGAGUCUGGGAUUUCCGAAUGGGGAAACCCACUAGCACAAGCUAGUAUCGCUGCGUGAAUACAUAGCGCAGC
rnacentral:rRNA from 1 species